rnacentral:rRNA from 1 species
UAGAGUUUGAUCAUGGCUCAGGACGAACGCUGGCGGCGCGCUUAACACAUGCAAGUCGUGCGGUACCGAUGGCAAGUCCUUACAGACGAGCUUUCGGUACAGCGGCGGACGGGUGAGUAACACGUGAGUAGCUGUCCUAAGGAGGGGGAUAACGCCUGGAAACGGGUGCUAAUACCCCAUAUGCCUCGCAAGAGGUGAAAGUGUACUUGUUACAGCCUUAGGGUGCGCUCGCGGCCUAUCAGCUAGUUGGUGAGGUAACGGCUCACCAAGGCUAAGACGGGUAGCCGGCCUGAGAGGGUGUACGGCCACACUGGAAUUGAGAUACGGUCCAGACUCCUACGGGAGGCAGCAGUGGGGAAUCUUGGGCAAUGGGCGAAAGCCUGACCCAGCGACGCCGCGUUGGGGAUGAAGCCCUUCGGGGCGUAAACCCAUGUUGUAGGGGACGAAGAAAGUGACGGUACCCUACGAGAAAGCCCCGGCCAACUACGUGCCAGCCGCCGCGGUAAUACA